GAACCAAUCAAGUUCCAGGAGGAGUGAUGAAUAUCAUAAAUGUGACGUAUUCAUUGUGUUCAGGCUUCAAGGUGACGGGUCACGUGGACGCGGAGGGGCGGAGUCUGGUCCACGUCAGCGAGGUGGACGCGGAGGGACAGUCGGCCAGAGGAGGCCUCAGGGCGGGAGACCAGGUCCUGGCGGUGAACGGGGCCGGUGUGUCCGGACUGGACCUGGACCUGAUGCAGAGCCUCUUCAGCCACCAGAAGCUCACGCUGCGGCUCCAGAGGGACCGGGAGCCCGCUGGCCCCCUGGACCUCCAGACCUGGACCAGCAUCGAACCUGAGCUUGAUUCCACAGACGUCCCGUUUCCUGUUUGUGACGACGAGCUGCGAAGACAGGUGAGCUUUACCUGUUCAGUGUGUGUGUGUGUGUGUGUGUGUGUGUGUGUGUGUGUGUCUGUGUGUGUGUGUGUGUGUGUGUGUGUGUGUGUGUUGCGUGUGUGAUAGUGGGAAUCUGUGUGAGAGUGAAGACAAAGACGUUCUGUCUCGCUCGGCUUUAAACUGUGUUUUAUUUUGAAAGGAUAG
rnacentral:lncRNA from 1 species